rnacentral:rRNA from 1 species
GGUAAUUUAAUCUUAUAAUCAAAAUAAAUGGAUCAAAAACAAUAUUCAUAAAUAUACAUAAACAAAGAGAAGUUAAACAAUAUUACUCCCAUCACCCCAACAAAACACUCAUCCCCAUUCAGUAAAAACAGACAAACAAAACACAAAUAAGAACAAUGUCAAACUCUAUAGGGUCUUCUCGUCCCAUAAAAACAUUUAAGAAUUUUAACUCAAAAACCAAAUUCAAUAAACAAUACCUCCAAGACAGCUCACGUCUCGUCAAGCCAUUCAUACCAGAUCACAAUUAAAGAACUAAUGAUUAUGCUACCUUUGCACGGUCAAAAUACCGCGGCCCUUCAACAACAUGUCAGUGGGCAGGCCAUACUUCAAAAACUAACAAGAAAAGAUGUUUUUGUUAAACAGGCGGACAUAAAAUUUUGCCUAAUUCCUUAAAGGUAAUUAACAAUCUCCACUAUUAAACAGAAACAUAAAAUUUACUAAUUACACAAUAAUUACUAUACUAAACCAAAAAUAAAGAAAACAUUUCAAUAAAUAACUUAAAUAAAAAAAAAUUAAAAAUAAGAACAAAUAAAAUUUUAACAUAAUCAUAUAGAAAAUCACCAUAAAAUCCACAAAACUAAAUUAACAAUAUAACAAAUUAUAAAAAUAAAAUAAAGAGCUAAUCCCCCUUAAUCUUAACACCAAAUAAAAAUUAAUAAACCAACAAUAAAAUUUAAAUAAAAUGCAUGAAUUAAA